UACGUAGGGGGCAAGCGUUAUCCGGAUUUACUGGGUGUAAAGGGAGCGUAGACGGCCAGACAAGUCUGAAGUGAAAAUCCAGCGCUUAACGUUGGAAGUGCUUUGGAGACUGCCGGGCUAGAGUGCAGGAGGGGCAGGCGGAAUUCCUAGUGUAGCGGUGAAAUGCGUAGAUAUUAGGAGGAACACCAGUGGCGAAGGCGGCCUGCUGGACUGCAACUGACGUUGAGGCUCGAAGGCGUGGGGAGCAAACAGG
rnacentral:rRNA from 1 species